rnacentral:rRNA from 1 species
AUUGAACGCUGGCGGCAGGCCUAACACAUGCAUGUCAAGCGGAUGAAGGGAGCUUGCUCCUGGAUUCAGCGGCGGACGGGUGAGUAAUGCCUAGGAAUCUGCCUGGUAGUGGGGGAUAACGUCCGGAAACGGGCGCUAAUACCGCAUACGUCCUGAGGGAGAAAGUGGGGGAUCUUCGGACCUCACGCUAUCAGAUGAGCCUAGGUCGGAUUAGCUAGUUGGUGGGGUAAAGGCCUACCAAGGCGACGAUCCGUAACUGGUCUGAGAGGAUGAUCAGUCACACUGGAACUGAGACACGGUCCAGACUCCUACGGGAGGCAGCAGUGGGGAAUAUUGGACAAUGGGCGAAAGCCUGAUCCAGCCAUGCCGCGUGUGUGAAGAAGGUCUUCGGAUUGUAAAGCACUUUAAGUUGGGAGGAAGGGCAGUAAGUUAAUACCUUGCUGUUUUGACGUUACCAACAGAAUAAGCACCGGCUAACUUCGUG